UCAGUGCGCGACGCCACAUCUUAUCUCGACACCGUUGCAGAAAUUUGCAAUUUUUCCUCGCAAAUUCUAUUCUAGUGAAAAAUGCGAUGGACGGCUGCUACUGUCUCUCCGGAAAAGUCACGUACAAGAGACAUGAAUGGCAAAGAAACGAUAAUCACGAAAUAAACAGGUUAUAACUUUGCAAGAAAUUCCCGUAGACAAUUCAUUAAGUCUACAAUAGAACUAAAAUUGCUAACAGCUGUUUAUAAUUGUUCAUUUAAUGGUCAAGAUAUUGAGCCCUAACUUCUGCGACAUCAAAUAGUUUGAUGUAGUUAGUUCAAGUCACGGAGCAGAGUGCUUGUUUAUUAGUACUUGACGUCAUCAUAAAUAGCGAAACAAGUAAGUACAUACUUGUACAGAAAGUUAACGAUUAAAGAGUAAAAUAAA